GGAAUUAAAUAUAAAUUAAAAUGUGCACUUAAUGAUGUGUAUUAUUGUUUGUCAAUUAUGGUUUCUUGUAGAUGAAAUUGAUCUGGAAUUAGAAGAGGAUGAUGUAAGUGAUGAUGAGGAUUCAGACCCUGAGACUAAGAGUAAAGACCCUACCAAUGAAGUGAGGGAAAACAAAAAAGGGAUCGAAUUUACCCAAAAAGAGACUUCAAAAGGAAAAAGAAAAAUGUCCCCUGAUGAGGCUGAGAGCACCUUAGGUAUGUGAAGCGGUUAUGUUCGUUGAUCCACAUGAUGGGUUUUAUUUAACUCAACCUUGCUGACUUAAAAUGGGU
rnacentral:lncRNA from 1 species